rnacentral:tRNA from 1 species
UGUUUAUAUGGCUAAGGUGCGUGAUGCCGUUCGAGCUUCAGGCUUUGACAAAGCGCAAUUGUUCCGUUGCGACUGGAGUUCUAAUUUCUUUAAAUAU